GCCUCCAAUUUAGUUCUAAAAUAUUGUUAUACAAACAAUAACACAAACUUUAACUUAACAAAACAUUUAUACAGUCUAGUAGAAGUGAUCAAAAACCUAAUAAAAACUAUAUACAAAGUACCGCAAGGGAAAAAUGAAAUAGUAAUGAAAUAAACCAAAAGCACAAAAAAGCAGAGAAAUACCCUCGUACCUUUUGCAUCAUGGUCUAACAAGUAAAAACAAGCAAAAUGUACCUAAAGUUUGUUACCCCGAAACUAAGUGAGCUACUUUAAAACAACUAUAUAAAUAUCUUAAUUAUAUAGUCAACUCGUCUCUGUUGCAAAAGAGUGAGAAGAUUUUUAAGUAGAAGUGACAAGCCUACCGAACUUAGAGAUAGCUGGUUAUUUGGAAAAAGAAUUUUAGUUCUGCCUUAAAUUAUAAUAUGCAUUAAAUAGAACAUAAUAAACAAUUUAAGAGUUAUUUAAAUAGGGAACAGCCUAUUUAAAACAGAAAACAGCCUAAAGAAUAGGGUAAUUAAUAUUACAAUUAUUUAAGUGGGCCUGAAAGCAGCCAUCUUUUAAAAAGCGUCAAAGCUUAAAUAUAAUAUAAAAAAAUUUUUAACUUAAUUAUAAAACCCAUCAUCAAUACCAAAUAAUUUUAUAUAAAUAUAAAAAUUAUAAUGUUAGAAUAAGUAAUAAGAAAAAGACUUUCUCCAAAAUAUAAGCAUAAUGCAUAAUAAACUAAAACUGCUAAUUAUUGUAUAUAAACUAAAGUAGCAACUUGACUAGAAAACUCUACUUCCCUUAACAUUGACCUAACACAAGAAUAUUACUGGAAAGAUUAAAACAGUAGGAAGGAACUCGGCAAAUAAAAACCCCGCCUGUUUACCAAAAACAUCGCCUCUUGCUAAAAUAUAAGAGGUCCCGCCUGCCCCGUGAUCUAAUUUAACGGCCGCGGUAUCUUGACCGUGCAAAGGUAGCAUAAUCAAUUGUUCUUUAAAUAAGGACUAGUAUGAAUGGCAUUACGAGGGUUUAACUGUCUCCCUAUUUUAAUCAAUGAAAUUGAUCUUCCCGUGAAGAAGCGGGAAUAUAAUUAUAAGACGAAAAGACCCCAUGGAGCUUUAAACUUAUUUUCAAUUACCAAAAUCCAAAACAUAUACCUGGUAAAAAUGAUAAUCGUUUUCGGUUGGGGCGACCCUGGAGAAAAAUAAAUCCUCCAAGCUGAAUAGAUCAAAAAUCUAAUGUUAGAGUGACAACUCAAACAAUCAAAAUCUUGACAAAAUGACCCAGAAUUUAUCUGAUCAACGAACCAAGUUACCCUGGGGAUAACAGCGCAAUCCAUUUCAAGAGCCCUUAUCGACAAAUGGGUUUACGACCUCGAUGUUGGAUCGGGAUAUCCUAGCAGCGCAGCCGUUGCUUAAGGUUCGUUUGUUCAACGAUUAACAAUCCCACGUGAUCUGAGUUCAGACCGGAGUAAUCCAGGUCGGUUUCUAUCUAUAAAAUGUCUAUUCCAGUACGAAAGGACCGAAAAGACAUGGCCUAUGCAUAAACAAGCCAUAUUAUAAUAUUUAUGACAUCAACUUAAUUAAAUAUAUUCUAAACAAUAAUUUUAGAUAAAAAU
rnacentral:rRNA from 2 species